GACGCCAGUCUGCAUGGAGCCGACCUUGAAAUACCACCCUUUAAUGUUUGAUGUUCUAACGUGGACCCGUGAUCCGGGUUGCGGACAGUGUCUGGUGGGUAGUUUGACUGGGGCGGUCUCCUCCUAAAGAGUAACGGAGGAGCACGAAGGUUGGCUAAUCCUGGUCGGACAUCAGGAGGUUAGUGCAAUGGCAUAAGCCAGCUUGACUGCGAGCGUGACGGCGCGAGCAGGUGCGAAAGCAGGUCAUAGUGAUCCGGUGGUUCUGAAUGGAAGGGCCAUCGCUCAACGGAUAAAAGGUACUCCGGGGAUAACAGGCUGAUACCGCCCAAGAGUUCAUAUCGACGGCGGUGUUUGGCACCUCGAUGUCGGCUCAUCACAUCCUGGGGCUGAAGUAGGUCCCAAGGGUAUGGCUGUUCGCCAUUUAAAGUGGUACGCGAGCUGGGUUUAGAACGUCGUGAGACAGUUCGGUCCCUAUCUGCCGUGGGCGCUGGAGAACUGAGGGGGGCUGCUCCUAGUACGAGAGGACCGGAGUGGACGCAUCACUGGUGUUCGGGUUGUCAUGCCAAUGGCACUGCCCGGUAGCUAAAUGCGGAAGAGAUAAGUGCUGAAAGCAUCUAAGCACGAAACUUGCCCCGAGAUGAGUUCUCCCUGACUCCUUGAGAGUCCUGAAGGAACGUUGAAGACGACGACGUUGAUAGGCCGGGUGUGUAAGCGCAGCGAUGC
rnacentral:rRNA from 1 species